UAAAUGUUGAUGCAGGAUCUUUCAAGCGGUUACUCAGAUGUUAUGGAUCGUCCCUCCAAGCGGCGAUUCGUUUGCUCCAUGUUCCUUCCUUGAUCGUCAUGCCUGGUGAGCAAUAGGCUCAUCCAGAACUUUUAAGGUUUAAAGGAUAUCCAGCAUGGAAACCGGUACCGUCAAGUGGUUCAACGACUCCAAGGGCUUCGGCUUCAUCACCCCUGACGCAGGCGGCAACGACCUGUUCGCGCAUUUCUCGGAAAUUCAAGGCGGCGGUUUCAAGUCGCUGCAAGAAGGCCAGAAGGUGCGUUACGUCGCAGGCGUUGGCCAAAAGGGCCCCGCAGCGACCAAGAUCGAGCCGAUCUGAUCGAGCCGAAUCGAAUCGCCUAGAAAAAGCCCCGCCUAGCGGGGCUUUUUUUU
rnacentral:sRNA from 1 species